GACGAACGCUGGCGGCGUGCCUAAUACAUGCAAGUCGAACGCUUCUUUCCUCCCGAGUGCUUGCACUCAAUUGGAAAGAGGAGUGGCGGACGGGUGAGUAACACGUGGGUAACCUACCCAACAGAGGGGGAUAACACUUGGAAACAGGUGCUAAUACCGCAUAACAGUUUAUGCCGCAUGGCAUAAGAGUGAAAGGCGCUUUCGGGUGUCGCUGAUGGAUGGACCCGCGGUGCAUUAGCUAGUUGGUGAGGUAACGGCUCACCAAGGCCACGAUGCAUAGCCGACCUGAGAGGGUGAUCGGCCACACUGGGACUGAGACACGGCCCAGACUCCUACGGGAGGCAGCAGUAGGGAAUCUUCGGCAAUGGACGAAAGUCUGACCGAGCAACGCCGCGUGAGUGAAGAAGGUUUUCGGAUCGUAAAACUCUGUUGUUAGAGAAGAACAAGGACGUUAGUAACUGAACGUCCCCUGACGGUAUCUAACCAGAAAGCCACGGCUAACUACGUG
rnacentral:rRNA from 1 species